GAGCGGAGGGACAGUUCAAAUCGAAUCAUCCCUAAGUGAGAGAGACCCCCCGACCCUCCUGCCGGCCCCGCGCAGGCCUCGGCAGAGCGGCCCCGCCCGGCCACCGUCCCCGGCCCGCCCGGCCACCGUCCCGGGACCCGAGAGAGCGGCCCCGGCACCAUGAAGGCGGCUAGAACUAAAACUCCUAGAAAACCAGUGCUAAAGAAGUCAUCCAACACAAAUCUGAAAGAUCCAGUUGGGGUGUACUGCAGAGUGCGUCCCCUAAGUGUUCAGGAUCAGGAGUGUUGCAUAGAAGUGAUCAGUGAAACAACAGUUCAGAUUCAUCCUCCUGAUGGAUACAGAAUAUUCCGGAAUGGGGAAUACAGGGAGACGCAGUAUACGUUUAAGGAAGUAUUUGGAACUCUUGUCACUCAGAAAGCGCUCUUUGAUGUUGUGGCUAGACCUCUAGUAGAAGAUCUCGUUCGUGGAAAGAAUGGUCUCCUUUUCACCUAUGGUGUGACAGGUAGUGGGAAAACACACACAAUGACAGGUUCUCCUGGUGAUGGAGGACUUCUUCCCCGGUGCUUAGACAUGAUCUUCAACAGCAUAGGACCAUUUCAGGCCAAGCGAUUUGUUUUUAAACUUGAUGACAAGAACGGUGUGGAUGUGCAGUGUGAAGUUGAUGCUUUGUUAGAGCGUCAGAAAAGAGAUGCCAUGCCAAUUCCAAAGACUCCAUCUGGCAAACGACAAAUAGAUCCAGAAUUUGCUGAUAUGAUCAGUGUACGAGAUCAUUACAAAGUGGAAGAGGUUGAAGAAGACAAUGUCUAUAGUGUGUUUGUCUCGUAUAUUGAAAUCUACAAUAACUACAUAUAUGACCUGUUGGAGGAAGUUCCCUUCGAUCCAAUAAAACCAAAACCUCCACAAUCCAAAGUACUCCGUGAGGACCAGAAUCACAACAUGUAUGUUAUAGGAUGCACCGAAGUCGAGGUAAAAUCUACUGAAGAAGCUUUUGAAGUUUUUUGGAGAGGUCAAAAGAAAAGGCGCAUUGCUAACACUCAGCUGAAUCGCGAAUCUAGUCGUUCUCACAGCGUGUUUAUGAUUAAGUUGGCUCAGGCGCCGCUGGAUGCAGAUGGAGAUAAUGUCCUGCAGGAGAGAGAACAAAUAACUUUAAGCCAGCUGUCCUUGGUUGAUUUAGCUGGAAGCGAAAGAACGAAUAGGACAAAAGCUGAAGGAAACAGACUACGUGAAGCAGGUAAUAUUAACCAGUCACUUAUGACAUUAAGAACAUGUAUUGAAGUUCUACGGGAGAACCAAAUGUAUGGAACCAACAAGAUGGUCCCUUAUCGAGACUCCAAAUUAACCCACCUGUUCAAGAACUACUUUGACGGAGAAGGAAAAGUGCGUAUGGUCGUGUGCGUUAACCCCAAGGCCGAGGACUAUGAGGAAAGCUUGCAAGUCAUGCGAUUUGCAGAAAUGACCCAAGAAGUUGAAGUUGCAAGACCUGUUGAUAAACCACUGUGUGGCUUAACCCCAGGACGCCGAUUUAGAAACCAGGCCUUUAAGGAUGAACUCUCACGAAGACUUGAGAUUCGAGGUGGCCCAAUCGGCGGAGAAACAGAACAAUCUGUGACUGAAAUGCUUCUGCAGAACUUCCCUCCGUUACCAUCAUGUGAACUACUGGACGUGAAUGAUGACCAAACACUUCCUAGGCUGAUUGAAGUCCUUGAGAAACGCCACAGAAUGCGGCAGAUGCUGUCAGAAGAGUUCACCAAAAAUGUACUCGCAUUUAAAACUAUGCUGCAGGAAUUUGAUAGCAGCAUUGUAUCCAAGGAAAACUACGCUCAAGGAAAACUCACUGAAAAGGAGAAAAUGAUAGCAGGACAGAAAAUGGAGAUUGAACGACUGGAAAAGAAAACUAAAACAUUAGAGUACAAGAUUGAGAUUUUAGAGAAAACUACUACAAUUUAUGAAGAAGACAAACGUAAUUUGCAGCAAGAGCUAGAAAGCAAGAGUCAGAAAUUGCAGCGGCAGGCUUCUGAUAAGCGUAGAUUGGAAGCACGAUUGCAAGGCAUGGUGACAGAGACAACAAUGAAGUGGGAGAAAGAAUGUGAGCGCCGUGUGGCGGCAAAACAGCUGGAGAUGCAGAACAAGCUCUGGGUCAAAGAUGAGAAACUGAAGCAACUGAAAGCUAUUGUUACUGAACCAAAGAAUGAAAAACCAGAGAGGCCUUCACGGGAGAAGGACCGGGAGAAGACUUUUCAGAGAUCUGUGUCUCCCCCGCCAGCACCAUUUUCUAGUAACUAUGUUACUCAAGUCCCUAACAGCCAACCUCUCAUGAGCCAGCCACAGCUGCAUAGACGCUCUAACUCUUGUAGCAGCAUUUGUGUGGCAUCCUGUAUUUCGGAGUGGGAGCAGAAAAUUCCUCCAUACAACAAGCACACCAUUGGCACACCUAAGGCAAGGAGUAGACAACAGGAACCAGAGCAAAAUAGAAACUGUAAUGUGUCAGACAGAAGGCGAGGGAUGCACUGGACUGGAGUCAUUGAGGUCCCCAGCCGUAGAGAUGAGAUAGAAAUAGAAGAGGACCAAUGCUGCAGGACUGCACCUCCAGUUCGUCUCAGACACAGACGAUCACGCUCAGCGGGGGAGAGAUGGGUAGAUCAUAAGCCACCUUCUAAUGUGCCAACUGAAACAGUCAUGCAACCACAUGUCCCCCAUGCCAUCACAGUAGCAGCUGCAAACGAAAAGGCACUAGCUAAGUGUGACAAGUACAUGCUGACUCACCAGGAACUAGCUUCUGAUGGGGAGAUUGAAACUAAACUGAUUAAGGGUGAUGUUUACAGAACCAGAGGUGGUGGACAGGCAGUCCAGUUCACGGAUAUAGAGACUCUAAAACAAGAAUCACCAACCGGUCGAAAGCGAAGAUCAUCAACUUCAAGUCCUGCUCCACCAGAAGAUGCUGCAGAAUCUGAAUGGACAGAUGUAGAAACCAGAUGUUCAGUAGCUGUGGAGAUGAGGGCAGGAUCCAGUCUGGGACCUGGAUAUCAGCAUCAUGCUCAGCCCAAAUAGGUGCUGGCAGCGCUGUGGCAGUGAUCCAUUCAGCUCAGGGGAAGAAAGCUUGCAGUUUUACACGAUGUUUACAGGCAGGAGAGAGGGCUUCAGAGGCGCAGAAAACCAUGAGCUGGAAUUCACUAUUGUACUGGAAUACUGUUCGCAAAAUGGGGAUUUUAAUCAGUUCUUCAGAAUUUGCUGCCAGUGAAGUCUUGGUAAAUUUACUGCUAUGCUAAACUGCAGACUUGCAUUUUAUAACUGCUUAUGCUGGACAGCAGGCAGCUAAGGGAAACCUUUUUUUCACAAUUCUGAGGAAAUAUAUGUAUCCAAUGCAUUUGUUUUUUGCCCGGCUGUGUAUUAUGGAUAACUUUGAAGAGAGCCUUCUGUUCUGUGUGUGUGUGAACCUCUUGAUAUUCUGUAUCUCCUGUAGACUGAAUCAUGCAAGGCCUUUGCCUUGUGUUUUUGCAAGGUUUUCUUUUUGUAGUGUAAAACUUUUUCAAGUUUGGUCACAAUCCUUUGUAUGGUGGUUGUUCGUUUGUUUUUUAAAUACACAAUUGCUGCUAUUUUUUUAGCUGCAGUAAUGCACUUUAGAAAUAUUUCUAUGCCCAUUCAGGUUUUUAUUAUACUUAGCAAGAAUUAUUAAUAUGAACUACCCAUCAGAACAACUAUCCAAUAAGAGAUGGGACUUAAUUGUUGGACGACAGUGUUCUGUACAUAUACAAAUCGUCUUCUGAAAGUCAUUUCAGUCUUUGAGCCGGCAUAAUGACAAAAAGCAGAAAUCCUGAGACAGUGCAUAACGGUGAAUUGGUGUCAUACCUAUUCAGUUCUGUGCAAUGAGUAACUGUUAUAUGAUGCUGAUUACAUCAGCAGAUGUGGGGUGAAGGUAAUAUGCUCACUUGUUAGGUGACAAUUGUAUUAAGCAUGGAUCUGCAAAUGUGUUAAAAUAAAUACUUUUAUUCAA